rnacentral:rRNA from 1 species
GACGAACGCUGGCGGCGUGCUUAACACAUGCAAGUCGAACGGAAAGGCCCUGCUUUUGUGGGGUGCUCGAGUGGCGAACGGGUGAGUAACACGUGAGUAACCUGCCCUUGCCUUUGGGAUAACUUCAGGAAACUGGGGCUAAUACCGGAUAGGAGCUCCUGCUGCAUGGUGUGGGUUGGAAAGUUUCGGCGGUUGGGGAUGGACUCGCGGCUUAUCAGCUUGUUGGUGGGGUAGUGGCUUACCAAGGUUUUGACGGGUAGCCGGCCUGAGAGGGUGACCGGCCACAGUGGGACUGAGAUACGGCCCAGACUGCUACGGGAGGCAGCAGUGGGGAAUAUUGCACAAUGGGCGGAAGCCUGAUGCAGCAACGCCGCGUGCGGGAUGACGGCCUUCGGGUUGUAAACCGCUUUCGCCUGUGACGAAGCGUGAGUGACGGUAAUGGGUAAAGAAGCACCGGCUAACUACGUG